rnacentral:rRNA from 1 species
AUACGGAGGAUGCGAGCGUUAUCCGGAUUUAUUGGGUUUAAAGGGUGCGUAGGCGGCCUUGUAAGUCAGCGGUGAAAUUUUGCAGCUUAACUGUAAAAGUGCCGUUGAUACUGUGAGGCUAGGAUUUGGUUGCUGUGGGUGGAAUGUGUGGUGUAGCGGUGAAAUGCUUAGAGAUCACACAGAAUAUCGAUUGCGAAGGCAGCUCACAAAGCCAAGAUUGACGCUGAGGCACGAAAGUGUGGGGAUCAAACAGGAUUAGAUACCCUGGUAGUCCACACUGUAAACGAUGAUAACUCGCUGUCGGCGAUAUACAGUCGGUGGCCAAGCGAAAGCGAUAAGUUAUCCACCUGGGGAGUACGACCGCAAGGUUGAAACUCAAAGGAAUUGACGGGG